UACGAAGGGGGCUAGCGUUGCUCGGAAUCACUGGGCGUAAAGGAUGCGUAGGCGGGUCUUUAAGUCAGGGUGAAAUCCUGGAGCUCAACUCCAGAACUGCCUUUGAUACUGAGGAUCUUGAGUUCGGGAGAGGUGAGUGGAACUGCGAGUGUAGAGGUGAAAUUCGUAGAUAUUCGCAAGAACACCAGUGGCGAAGGCGGCUCACUGGCCCGAUACUGACGCUGAGGCACGAAAGCGUGGGGAGCAAACAGG
rnacentral:rRNA from 1 species